rnacentral:rRNA from 1 species
UACGUAGGGGGCGAGCGUUGUCCGGAUUUAUUGGGCGUAAAGCGCGUGUAGGCGGCUUGGUAGGUCUGCUGUGAAAACUCGGGGCUCAACCCCGAGACGUCGGUGGAAACCACCUGGCUAGAGUCCGGAAGAGGAGAGUGGAAUUCCCGGUGUAGCGGUGAAAUGCGCAGAUAUCGGGAAGAACACCCGUGGCGAAGGCGGCUCUCUGGGACGGUACUGGACGCUGAGACGCGAAAGCGUGGGGAGCGAACAGG